GACGAACGCUGGCGGCGUGCUUAACACAUGCAAGUCGAACGGAGAGGCCCUGCUUGCAGGGUGCUCGAGUGGCGAACGGGUGAGUAACACGUGGGUGAUCUGCCCCUUACUUUGGGAUAAGCCUGGGAAACUGGGUCUAAUACUGGAUAGGACCAUGCUGUAGGUGGUGUGGUGGAAAGAUUAGUUUCGGUAAGGGAUGAGCUCGCGGCCUAUCAGCUUGUUGGUGGGGUAAUGGCCUACCAAGGCGGCGACGGGUAGCCGGCCUGAGAGGGUGGACGGCCACAUUGGGACUGAGAUACGGCCCAGACUCCUACGGGAGGCAGCAGUGGGGAAUAUUGCACAAUGGGCGCAAGCCUGAUGCAGCGACGCCGCGUGGGGGAUGACGGCCUUCGGGUUGUAAACUCCUUUCAGCCAUGACGAAGCCCUUGUGGUGACGGUAGUGGUAGAAGAAGCACCGGCUAACUACGUG
rnacentral:rRNA from 1 species